UCUGGCUCAGGACGAACGCUGGCGGCGUGCCUAAUACAUGCAAGUCGAGCGGACAGAUGGGAGCUUGCUCCCUGAUGUUAGCGGCGGACGGGUGAGUAACACGUGGGUAACCUGCCUGUAAGACUGGGAUAACUCCGGGAAACCGGGGCUAAUACCGGAUGGUUGUUUGAACCGCAUGGUUCAAACAUAAAAGGUGGCUUCGGCUACCACUUACAGAUGGACCCGCGGCGCAUUAGCUAGUUGGUGAGGUAACGGCUCACCAAGGCAACGAUGCGUAGCCGACCUGAGAGGGUGAUCGGCCACACUGGGACUGAGACACGGCCCAGACUCCUACGGGAGGCAGCAGUAGGGAAUCUUCCGCAAUGGACGAAAGUCUGACGGAGCAACGCCGCGUGAGUGAUGAAGGUUUUCGGAUCGUAAAGCUCUGUUGUUAGGGAAGAACAAGUACCGUUCGAAUAGGGCGGUACCUUGACGGUACCUAACCAGAAAGCCACGGCUAACUACGUGCCAGACCCC
rnacentral:rRNA from 1 species